CUCACUUGUGUUGCUUGACAUUAAUUCCCACUAUGCAAUAUAUAAAUGUAUGUAUAGUGAAUAGAGUGACAACAGGUAGAACCCCAGCUGUUUUAAACCUGCAACUACCUUGAUGCCUUGCAAACCUUAUAGAACUGCAACUCCCAUGAUGCUUUGCAAACCUUACAGAACUGCAACUCCCAUGAUGCUUUGCCAAAACAUGUUUUUUCCAUCUAUCUAUGAUGCAGCUAACAGACCAGAACAUUACUGCAAGACUGACAACCGGCAUCCGAGCCGCCGUACUUCUAGAAGAGCUAUUUAUCCAGCCGCUAUAAAAUGGACAGCUGUCAAAACAAGCGUCAUCGC